rnacentral:lncRNA from 10 species
AGACUCCAGAAUUUGUUUGCCCUCUAGGGUAGAAUCCGCCAAGCUUUGAGAGAAGGCUGUGACUGCUGUGCUCUGGGCGCCAGCUCGCUCCAGGGAGUGAUGGGAAUCCUGUCAUUCUUACCUGUCCUUGCCACUGAGAGUGACUGGGCUGACUGCAAGUCCCCCCAGCCUUGGGGUCAUAUGCUUCUGUGGACAGCUGUGCUAUUCCUGGGCACUGUUCUAGGACUUGGAGACUUAUCAGUGAACAUGACUGACAGCCUUCCUGACCGGAAAUACGAGGUCAAUGAACUUAUUGUGAAGCAAUAAGUACACCGGAUUCAACCAGUGAAUGAUUUCCAGAGCAAUGGCACAUCAAAUUAAUAUGGCUACUGCUCUCUUUGAAUUUAUAUUCUACUGAGGGAUAUAAACGCUCCUGUUGCUGGGACACCUGCAGCUCCCCCAAAGGCUGUGCUGAAACUCGAGCCCUAGUGGAUCAACGUGCUCCAAGAGGACUCUGUGACUCUGACAUGCCGGGGGACUCACAGCCCUGAGAGCGACUCCAUUCCGUGGUUCCACAAUGGGAAUCU